rnacentral:rRNA from 1 species
UGAGGAAUAUUGGGCAAUGCCCGCAAGGGUGACCCAGCAACGCCGCGUGGAGGAUGAAUGUCGUAAGAUUGUAAACUCCUGUUAGAGGGGAAGAAUAGUACCGGUUGGACCGGUAUAUGACUGUACCCUCAGAGAAAGCCCCGGCUAACUACGUGCCAGCAGCCGCGGUAAUACGUAGGGGGCAAGCGUUGUCCGGAUUUACUGGGUGUAAAGGGCGCGCAGGCGGGAUAAAAAGUCAGUGGUGAAAUCCUACAGCUUAACUGUAGAACUGCCUUUGAUACUUUUAUUCUUGAGUUCGGGAGAGAGAGACGGAAUUCCAGGUGUAGUGGUGAAAUACGUAGAUAUCUGAAAGAACACCAGUUGCGAAGGCGGUCUCUUGGUCCGACACUGACGCUGAGGCGCGAAAGCGUGGGGAGCAAACA